AACUAGUUUACACAACACGAAUCACGGCUUUAUUUGCAUAGGCCAUAAUGGAGCACCCGAACUGUUGCCUUCCUACAUCAUGCUUCGUACCGAUGAUCUUUAGAACGGUCAGAGUGGAAAGAACUGCUUCAUGCACUUCCGGGGGUCAAGUACGAGCACGUGAUGGAGAACGGAUGUAAAGAAUGUGUAACAGUUACUGACACACUUGUAAUUAGCCACACUAUUGGAGAAGAUGACGUAUAUUUCGUUUAAGUCUUCUGACAGGAAGCACUAUGCUAGUCCAGGCAGCAAGUGAUUUGGAUUCAGUUCCAGGGGCUUUACCUGUCCAACUUGGAAGUGACACUCGGGACAAAUAACAUAUCUCUACUGAAUGUCCUCUUUACCGGCUUACUGGACAAAAUAUGUCUUUAUUGGUGUGAUGGCUACCGGAUGCAAAAACGAAAUAAAGAAAAACUUCACAGAUCUUAGGAUGUAGAAUCAGACUGGAAGGGUUCGAUGGGAAUAUAACACGUGUAUUGAUAUUGGUUAGUUACGUGUGACAGGUGACUCUUCCCAUGGCACGUUUCGGACAUACAGAGCCAUAUGACUCCGUCUUCCACCUGUGUCAAAGAGGAGGAGUUACAACAGCUAGUUUGUUGAUGAUACCUUCCGAUUGGACUGAGAAUAUAGACGUACACAGUGUACUGUAAACGAUCUCGCCCACUGCAUGUAUUGUUAUCACUAAGAACUCAUUCAUCCGGAACUUCCUUUCGGUUUAGGGCUCACGCGUGUUUGUGCUUGGCUCGGAUAUAAACAUUGUGGGUAUUCGGACAUAUUCUGUGUGAUUUC